GACGAACGCUGGCGGCGUGCUUAACACAUGCAAGUCGAGCGGUAAGGCCCCUUCGGGGGUACACGAGCGGCGAACGGGUGAGUAACACGUGGGUGACCUGCCCUCAGCUCUGGGAUAAGCCUGGGAAACUGGGUCUAAUACCGGAUAUGACUCCAUGACGCAUGUCGUGGGGUGGAAAGCCUUGUGCGGCUGGGGAUGGGCCCGCGGCCUAUCAGCUUGUUGGUGGGGUGANGGCCUACCAAGGCGACGACGGGUAGCCGGCCUGAGAGGGCGACCGGCCACACUGGGACUGAGACACGGCCCAGACUCCUACGGGAGGCAGCAGUGGGGAAUCUUGCGCAAUGGGCGAAAGCCUGACGCAGCGACGCCGCGUGAGGGAUGACGGCCUGG
rnacentral:rRNA from 1 species